CCUGAACGCUGGCGGCGUGGCUAAGACAUGCAAGUCGAACGGACGUAGCAAUACGUCAGUGGCGGACGGGUGAGUAAUGUAUCGCUAAUGUACCCAGGAGUUUGGGAUAGCUGACCGAAAGGUCAGGUAAUACCGGAUGACAUCCCCUUGUCGCAUGGCGAGGGUCUCAAAGGAGCAAUCCGCUCUGGGAGCAGGCGAUAUCGUAUCAGGUAGUUGGGAGGUAACGGCUCACCAAGCCGACGACGCGUAGCUGGUCUGAGAGGACGGCCAGCCACAUCGGGACUGAGACACUGCCCGGACUCCUACGGGGGCGUGCAGUAACGAAUCUUCCACAAUGCACGAAAGUAGUGAUGGAGCGACGCCGCGUGUAGG
rnacentral:rRNA from 1 species